GGGAGCUGCUGUUGCCGCGGUGGGAAGACGCAGAGCUUUCAGGCCAGCCCCGCGCGGCUCACGGCUUUUGUGGCUGGUGGCUGGUGGCUGCUGGUUGGGAGGCCCCGGAAGGACUUCUACUCCUCCGUAGGCUGGAGGGCACUAGGAGGUCGCAGGUGCUGAGCUGCCGGGGCCUUUGGGCUGUGCUGAAGGGGAAAAGCGCAGCCACUGUCGGGAGUGUGUGCUGUGGAGGCAGUUGCCGCGGUGAUGUUCGCUCCGCCUGGCCCCUGCCGGGGAUUCAGCCAACCAACCCUCAACAGCCGGCGGCGGCUCAGUCUCUGGCCCGGCGCGGUGCUGAGCACCACUGAGCCCUCAUCUUAGGGCACCGAGGCCCGGACUCCUGCAGCCGCAUGUCCAGGCCCCUCCUGCCUUAGCACGGAGCUCCCUUGACUGCUCCAAACAGCCCAGACUGGCGCCUUUUUUGGAUAAAUUAAAACGGGGCCAAUCCGUUGCCAGCGAUUGGCUAACGAUGGGUACACGACCUAGUACGGGCCAGGGAGAAGUAAGCGAGGUCUGUUGAGGCAGAGUUUCGGGAAAGAUCUUCUAGUUAAAAGGGGAGUUGGGUGGGUGGGGGCUGUUUUCUUCCUGUUGUCCUUGCCCAGUGUAAGUUUCCUGGAGCUGCAGCAGCCUUUUUGUCACCAUGAGGGCAGCUGGUGGGAACCCUAGGAAAGCAGGAAAUCACCUAGAGCCGGAACAGCCUGAGCCUCUGAACCAACCCACAGCUGACUACCCGUCACUUUGUCGUGUCUCUGUGAUUUGAGUCCAUCAUUCUGCUGCAGUUGAAGACGAAAUCUUGGUGUAAUGUAAUUUGGCUUUCAUCCCUCUCCUGAUUUCUCAGAAGAUCUUACAAUUCUACAGACUGUACACGAAGCAACGGUGUCAGCAUCUGCUUCCAGUGGGGCCUCAGGAAGCUUUCAAUCAUGGCAGAAGGCCAAGGGGCAGCGGGGUCUCACGUGGCAAGAGAGGGAGGAGGAGGUGCCAGCCUCUUUAAACAAUCAGCUCUUGCAUGAACUCUUAGAGCCAGAACUCACUCACUACCUGGAAGACGGCAUGGAGACAAUAAUGAGGGAUCCACCCCCAUGACCCAAACUCCUCCCACUAGGCCCACCUCCAGCACUGGUGGUCACAGUUCAACGUGAGAUUUGGAGGGGACAAACAUCCAAACCGUAUCACCCCUCAACCCCUCAACUACACCUGGUUUGCUCCUUGUUUUCUAGAUUUUGACUGAAAUGUCCCCUUCCCGGCAAAGCCGUGUGGACCACCCGGGCUAAAGCAGCCACCUGGUGCUGGCCUGUGUGGCCCAAUUCCAGUUCUCCAGGGUGCUCAUCACUCUGUGGCAGUUUGUCUUCUGGUUUGUGAGAGAAGAAUAAAUCUGAGGGACCCAAAAUCACUAAAGGGAAAAGUCAAGCUGGGAACUGCUUAGUGCCAACCUGCCUCCCCUUCUAUUCAAAGUCACCCCUCUGCUCAAUGAAAUAAAUGCAUAUCUGAUUGCCUCCUUUGGAGAGGCUCAUCACAAACUCAAAAGAAUGCAACCAUUUGCCUUUUAUCUACCUAUGACCUGGAAGCCACCUCCCGCUUCGAGUUGUCCCGCCUUUCCGGACUGAACCAAUGUACAUCUUACAUAUGUUGAUUGAUGUAUCUCCCUAAAAUAUAUAAAACCAAACUGUGCUCUGACCACCUUGGGCAUGUGUCAUCAGGACCUCCUGAGGCUGUGUCACGGGCGUGCAUCCUCAACCUUGGCAAAAAUAAACUUUCUAAAUUAACUGA
rnacentral:lncRNA from 1 species